rnacentral:rRNA from 1 species
UACGAAGGGGGCUAGCGUUGUUCGGAAUUACUGGGCGUAAAGCGCACGUAGGCGGAUACUUAAGUCAGGGGGUGAAAUCCCGGGGCUCAACCCCGGAACUGCCUUUGAUACUGGGUAUCUCGAGUCCGGAAGAGGUGAGUGGAAUUCCGAGUGUAGAGGUGAAAUUCGUAGAUAUUCGGAGGAACACCAGUGGCGAAGGCGGCUCACUGGUCCGGUACUGACGCUGAGGUGCGAAAGCCAGGGGAGCAAACGGGG